rnacentral:ncRNA from 2 species
UGAAUAAAACAUAUUUUAGAUUCUUAAUAAAGAUUAAUAGGGAAAGAGGUGUAAAUCCUCUACAGCCCCUGCUACUGUAAUGCAGACGAAACUUUUAUUAACCACUGUGAUACUUAAUGGAUCAUGGGAAGGAAAAGGAUUAGAAUGAAGCUAAGUCAGGAAACCUGUCUAAAACAUUUAAGUAAU